rnacentral:tRNA from 1 species
CUGGGGGAGCUCAGUGGUAGAGCAGGUGCCUGGCAUGCACAAGGCCCUGGGCUCUACCCCCACCCACCAAA